UCUAUUUUGGCAGAUAAAUGUGUUGAAUUUAGAUUUCAUGAAUAUAUAGUUAAUAUAUAAAUAGAA
rnacentral:tRNA from 1 species